GCACGUAGUUAGCCGUGGCUUAUUCUCCUGGUACUUUCAAUGCCCGGCGCACCGGUCUUUUAUCCCCAGAAAAAAGCAGUUUACAACCCAGAAGGCUUUCUUCCUGCACGCGGCAUGGCUGGAUCAGGCUUGCACCCAUUGUCCAAUAUUCCCUACUGCUGCCUCCCGUAGGAGUCUGGCCCGUAUCUCAGUGCCAGUGUGGGGGACCAACCUCUCAGUUCCCCUACUGAUCAUCGUCUUGGUGGGCCGUUACCCCGCCAACUAACUAAUCAGACGCAUGCUCAUCCGCAACCCCUUGUAGUUUAAUCACAAUCAGAUGCCCUCUCGUGAUCUUAUGGAGUCUUAUCUCAACUUUCGCUAAGCUAUCCUCCUGUUGCGGGCAGAUUGCAUACGUGUUACGCACCCUUACGCUACUCUAGGACUCGUAUUGCUACAAAUCUUACCGUUCAGCUUGCAUGUAUUAGGCCUGCCGCUAGCGUUCAUC
rnacentral:rRNA from 1 species